UUGAAUCCCCUUCCCUCUCCAAUUCUCUCUGCAACCCCACUCAAACCCUAGCCGCCGCCACCGGAAUCAACCCUAAUCCCCAUCGAUUCUCACAUAAUCCAUGGACUCGCAUGGCUGUUUGAGAUGUGUACUGGUCUCCUAAGUCUCCUAGUUACCUAUUUUCGUGAUUUUUUGGAAAGAUCUCAAAGAGAUCUAGUCCAUACCUUGUUCAGCUUCUAUCUAUGGUCUCUUUCUGGCCAUCCAUAGCUGUUCGAGUUAGAUCCUUGACCGUUCCGGCUAGAUUGAUAACUUUUUGAAGUCUUUCUCAUCUUUUCGGGUUCUCCAAAACCCUAACAUUAAAGGCUUUCCAAUUUUCUUUUAGAUAUAUCUUAGAUAUGUGUAUUCUAUGAAC
rnacentral:lncRNA from 1 species